AAAUAUUAUAUUACGCUUAAUAUUACAUCUAAUAAUGCCUUUCAUGUAAAACUUUCAGUAACGGUAAUUUCGAGAUUUCACGUGACUUCGAGCACGAGACUGCAUGUUCUAAACAAUACCACGACAACGUAGACCGUGCUGCAAUGGCGUGCGUGGCCACUGAUCAACUUCAUUGUGGCUAUAAAUAUAAAAUGUAUGGAUUUGAGAAGAUACAGAUUUGACAAGAGAACCAUUUAAUGUAAUGAAAGAAACCACACCACAUCACAGCAUGAAGCCGCCAGGCGGCUAAUGCAGCAGCCAUAACAAUUUUAAUUGCAAGGAUCUCGUCGGCCCAAUAGUGCGAUGGUCUAACUGCCAACAAAAUCAUACUCCACACCAUUUAAUUAUUUUUUUGUUUUCGUUUCGUACUACUAUAGCCUACUUUAUUUUGAUGUCGGCUAUAUUUUAAAUUAAUUUUCUGACCAAUUUGUACCUAAUAAGCUGCUAAUGUUACUGUAUUAUAAAAAUGUAAAAAUGAGCUUAAGACUCAAUAAAUGUUUAAUAAACUUUCAUUUAUAUGCGAAGAGACUGACCAUUGACAUUAUUUAGAUAAAUACUAAUUAUCAAACCAUUGUUUCUAUUAUAUUAAUUAGUUUUUUUUUUUGCUUGCAAGGACUACCUGUGGUGAUGUCUGGUAUAUAAUGUUUAGUAUUCUUUCUAUUCUGUCAUUUGAAUGUCAAUUGUGAAUUGUAAAUAUGAAAAUUGUAUUUUAAAACAUAUAUUUAAAAUUAUUAUUAGUCGAAUUUUGAAUGUAUGUAUGUAUGUAUCUCACAAAAUGUAAUAUUUUCGUAUGAUGAUAUGAUGUUCAAAUUGUUAAUAUCUCUUGAUAUUAUUAUUUUCCUCGUGCUUUUUACAUGUAACAACGUAAAUAAAUUGUUUCCUUUA